GAUAGGGGUCGCGUCCUAUCAGCUUGACGGCGGGGUAACGGCCCACCGUGGCUUCGACGGGUAGCCGGCCUGAGAGGGCGACCGGCCACAUUGGGACUGAAAUACGGCCCAGACUCCUACGGGAGGCAGCAGUGGGGAAUAUUGCACAAUGGGCGCAAGCCUGAUGCAGCGACGCCGCGUGAGGGAUGGAGGCCUUCGGGUUGUAAACCUCUUUUAUCGGGGAGCAAGCGUGAGUGAGUUUACCCGUUGAAUAAGCACCGGCUAACUACGUGCCAGCAGCCGCGGUAAUACGUAGGGUGCAAGCGUUAUCCGGAUUUAUUGGGCGUAAAGGGCUCGUAGGCGGCUCGUCGCGUCCGGUGUGAAAGUCCAUCGCUUAACGGUGGAUCUGCGCCGGGUACGGGCGGGCUGGAGUGCGGUAGGGGAGACUGGAAUUCCCGGUGUAACGGUGG
rnacentral:rRNA from 1 species